AGAAAACAAACUAGCCCAAUUGCACCAAUCAUGUGUAUAAGGAACAGAAAUAGUGAAAACUUGUUUGUGUAGGAUCUUGAAUUCAGUGUUAUUACUGAAGGUUGAGGGGUAACAGCAGGGGUAGAGCGAGUCUGAGAAGGAGCCGGAGAAGGGUGGUGCUGAGACGGAGCUGGAACCGGAGCCGGCUCCGGCACCGGAGCAUGGCGUUGCUGAGACGGCGCCGGAGCCGGAGGAUGACGGUGGUGAAAAGGAUUCGGAAAAGAACGGUGCGGACGAUGUUGAGCAGGUGGCG
rnacentral:misc_RNA from 1 species